CCGCUGGUCGGCGGGUUGAGCGGCGGCCCGUUCACGCCGGGCUUCAGCGUGCCGCCGAUCACCUGGUCGACGGUCCUGACGACCGUCCCGGCGGCC
rnacentral:tRNA from 1 species